AGAUCCUGCCAGCCCCAGGCACCAAGGGAGCGUCUUCACCCCGGCUGAGAAAUUCAGAAUCCUCUCAAUGGGAGGCUCCACAUUUUCCUUUGAGAAAACAAAUUUUGCAAAGAUUCUUCAGAAUCCCGCGUCUCCCAACGACUGGAGCUUUGUCUUGCCCAGCUGGGUAUGUUCCAAGCCACUCUGUGUACAGACAUGGACGAAUAUGAUAGCAUUUUAUUGGGAGAAAAGACUCUUGUUCAGCUGACCUGCAAAACAGCUAAUAGGAGCAGGUCUGCUUUUUGUCACAACACUCCUGCAAAGACGGGAUGACAGUGAGACCACAUGACCUUAUCUGCAGCUGCCGUCUUGAGGCGCUUUAUGGUUUCUCUUGAGAACAGUCCAGCGUUGUGAGUAGGACCUCUCUUUAUGGUUUCUCUUGAGAAUAGUCCAGCGUUGUGAGUAGGACCUCUCUGUUCCCUGAAUGUCACUCUCUGUGACCCUAUCCAGCUCCUUCCUUGUGAGCCGUGAGAGCCACCUGCUUAUCAGUUCUCGCCACUGGGAAAUGUGCAUUUUCCUCUUGGUGGAGGUGUACUUCACAAGGCCCCCCGGUGUGUUCUCAGCUUCCUCAGACAGCUGGCUGUAUUUGGAAGACCCAGGGUUUCUUCCACGAGGAUUGAUGUGAUCCCUGCAGGUCAAACACAUUGGUGGAAGGCCAGAAAGCACACGGUCCUUCAUUCUCCAAACCUGGGUCCACGCCAAGGAGGAGGACACAGGGCAGUCAGUGUCAGUGUACAAGAGGUUAUCAGACUUGUUCUGGAACAGUGCUUGGGAAGUUAUGAGUUGCUGGCAGGAUUUGCAGCCCACAUACUCAGGUAUGCAAGAAAUAAAAUUAUCUCUAGCCCUUCAAAUCACACCAUUCUGACUCAGAACCCCUGCCCCCAACAAAAUACAUGUGAAACACCAUCCUGGCAUUACUGGGGGGGGGGGGUCUCCCCUCACAGCUUCUUGGAGAGCUUGUAGGGGGAAGGGGCAGCUGAGGCAGGGGUGGCUAACCUCUGUUAUUCCUAAGCUCAGCGUUUGGAUCUCCAAACUCCUCACACACAGCUCUCCGAUCCCACACUUUCCUGGGUAACCCCUGCUGGGCUUUGCCAGCCUUUCAACUGAGGCCAGCACUUCCCUUCGCCCUCCUGGCCAGCCUGGGACAGAGUCUCCACUGCUCUUCUCUCAUCUCCCCAGCACUGAAUGCAACAUCUGACCUGCUUAGGCCUUGGGCAAGCAAAAUUAGUUUUGCCAAAUGUCAAAGCAGCAUGUAACACUGGGCCUUCAGUCAAGGCCUUAUGUUACCAUGGAUGAACAGAAGAAAAGAAAAGAAAGGAUAGAUGGAUUCAUCUCUCUGCUAAUCACAUGACAGGAGGAAGACAGCUCUGUCAACGGCAACCACGCUUGCAUAUGGUCAUGUCCUGCUGCCCAAGGACCCCCAGUCUCCAAAUCCCAAGGGAACGACUCUGCUUGGGUCAACUGUCCUCCUUGACGCUCCCAUUGGUAACUGCUCUCCGCCCUUUGGCACAACAGUAAAGCAGGUACUUGGAACACUGCAGGAUCAGCAACGGAAGUAAGAUGCAAGUCUCCUGUUGAAGUCCCAUCUCCCAAAAAAUGUAUAUAAAGAAAAGAAGAAAGCUAGAAGACCGGCAACCAUGAAGGUAUUUACCAUUUUUGCACGUGACCCAAAGGUGAUGACAACUCUGUCCUCCUCAGAGGGACACAGCUAUGGUCUAGGCUGUGGAUGGUAGCAGGCUGGUGCCAUGGUCAUGAUGGGGUUUGGGAGAGACACUGGCCCAGACUGACCAAGAAGUCAUAGAGAGAUGAUUUCUGGAGGUCCAGGAAAAGUUGUCCUCAUUCUUAAGGAGUCACAUGAAGGGAUGGUCCCUUUGUGUUUCUGGACACUGGAUGUUAAAGGUCUGGGUUUAAUAUCCAGAAUUCUGGGAGCCAACUUGCAACAACAAGGGGAACCAACUGGGGGCAAUUCCAGCCCACAGAACAUGGCAGAGCAGAGGCAGGAAAGAACAUGCGUCCUUGACACCAUUGCUAGCUGUUGAGUCAACCAACCUGGAUCCUUGUUAGACCUCAGCUCACUCUUAUUUGAUGUAAGAAACUCUUAAGUUGGCUGUGUCUGUAAGACAAGUCUUCUCUUGCCUAUAGUGUAGCCAUCCUAGAUGAUACAAAUGAAAUUUGAAAAGCAGAGAUUUCAUGGAAAAGUCUGUUCCUGUCCAUUUUCAUUGGACACCUUUAAAUUCAUUCUGUGUUAAAUCAUUUUUUAAUAUGAUUGUCUGUUUUGUGUGUGUUGAGUUUGAGGAGUUCUUUAUAGAUCCUGGAUAUCAACCUUUUGUCUGUACUGUCAUUUGCAAAUAUCUUCUCCCAUUUUGUGGGUUGCCUCUUUGUUUUCUUGACUGUUUCCUUUGCUGUGCAGAAGCUUUUGAUCUUGAUGAAGUCCCAAAAGUUCAUCUUCACUUUUGUUUCCUUUGCCUCUGGAGACAUAUCUUAAAAGAAGUUGCUGUGGCUGAUAUCGAGGAGGUUACUGCCCAUGUUCUCCUCUAGGAUUCUGAUGGAUUCCUGUCUCACAUUGAGGUCUUUUAUCCAUUUUGAGUUCAUCUUUGUGUACAGUGUAAGAGAAUGGUCGAGUUUCAUUCUGCUACAUAUAGCUGCCCAGUUUUCCCAGCACCAUUUAUUUAAGAGACUUUUUUCCACUGUAUAUUUUUUCCUGUUUUGUCAAAGAUUGUUUGCCCAUAGAGUUGAGGGUCCAUAUCUGGGCUCUCUACUCUGUUCCACUGGUCUAUGUGUCUGUUUUUAUGCCAGUACCAUGCUGUCUUGGUGACCACAGCUUUGUAGUAAAGCUUGAAAUCAGGUAACGUGAUGCCCGCAGUUUUAUUUAUUUAUUUAUUUUUAAGAUUUUAUUUAUUUGACAGAGAGAGAGGGAAUACAAUCAGGAGAGUGGUAGAGGGAGAAGCAGGCUCCCCGCUGAGCUGGGAGCCCAAUGUGGGGCUUGAUCCCAGGACCCUGGGAUCAUGACCUGAGCUGAAGGCAGUCGCUUAACAAACUGAGCCUCCCAGGUGCCCCUUUAUUUUUGUUUUUCAACAUUUCCUUAGAGAUUCAGGGUCUCUUCUGAUUCCAUACACAUUUUUGGAUUAUUUGCUCCAGCUCUUUGAAAAAUACUGGUGGAAUUUUGAUAGGAAUGGCAUUAAAAGUAUAGAUUGCUCUAGGCAGUUUAGACAUUUUUAACAAUGUUUAUUCUUCCGAUCCAAGAGCAUGGGAUGGUCUUCCAUCUUUUUGUGUCUUCUUCAAUUUCUUUCAUGAGUGUUCUGUAGUUCCUCGAGUACAGUUCCUUUACUUCUUUGGUUAGGUUUAUUCCAGGGUAUCUUAUGGUUCUUGGUUCUAUAGUAAAUGGAAUCGAUUCUCUAAUUUCCCUUUCUGUAUUUUCAUUGUUAGUGUAUAAGAAAGCCACUGAUUUCUGUACAUUGACUUUGUAUCCUGCCACAUUGCUGAACAGACACUUCUCCAAUGAAGACAUACAAAUGGCUAUCAGACAUGUUCAUCAUGAUGAUGAAAAAAUGUUCAUCAUCACUAGCCAUCAGGGAGAUUCAAAUUGAGAUAUCACAUUGAGAUAUCACCUUACACCAGUUAGAAUGACCAAAAUUAACAAGACAGGAAACAACAUGUGUUGGAGAUGAUGUGGAGAAAGGGGAACCCUCUUCCACUGUUAGUGGGAAUGCAAGUUGGUGAGCCACUUUGGAAAACAGUGUGGAGAUUCCUCAAGAAAUUAAAAAUAGAGCUUCCCUAUGACCCUGCAAUUUCACUACUGGGUAUUUACCCCAAAGGUACAGAUGUAGUGAAAAGAAGGGCCAUCUGUACCCCAAUGUUUAUAGCAGCAAUGGCCACAGUCACCAAACUAUGGAAAGAACCAAAAUGCCGUUCAACAGACGAAUGGAUAAGGAAGAUGUGGUCCAUAUACACUAUGGAGUAUUAUGCCUCCAUCAGAAAGGAUGAAUACCCAACUUUUGUAGCAACAUGGACAGGACUGGAAGAGAUGAUGCUGUGUGAAAUAAGUCAAGCAGAGAGAGUCAAUUAUCAUAUGGUUUCACUUAUUUGUAGAGCAUAACAAAUAGCAUGGAGGACAUGGGGAGUUAGAGAGGGUAAGGGAGUUGGGGGAAAUUGGAAGUGGA